AGUGGCGAACGGGUGAGUAACACGUGGGUGACCUACCUUCGAAUGGGGGAUAACGUCCCGAAAGGGACGCUAAUACCGCAUAACAUCCUGCUUUUGAACAGGUGGAGAUCAAAGCCGGGGAUCGCAAGACCUGGCGUUUGAAGAGGGGCCUGCGUCUGAUUAGCUAGUUGGUGAGGUAACGGCUCACCAAGGCAACGAUCAGUAUCCGGCCUGAGAGGGCGGACGGACACACUGGGACUGAGACACGGCCCAGACUCCUACGGGAGGCAGCAGUGGGGAAUUGUUCGCAAUGGGCGCAAGCCUGACGACGCAACGCCGCGUGGAGGAUGAAGGUCUUCGGAUUGUAAACUCCUGUUGCCCGGGACGAAAUGCUUCGACCUAACACGUCGGAGUUUGACGGUACCGGGUGAGGAAGCCCCGGCUAACUCUGUGCCAGCAGCCGCGGUAAUACAGAGGGGGCAAGCGUUGUUCGGAAUUACUGGGCGUAAAGGGCGCGUAGGCGGCCUUCUAAGUCGAACGUGAAAUCCCCGGGCUCAACCCGGGAACUGCGUCCGAUACUGGAAGGCUUGAAUCCGGGAGAGGGAUGCGGAAUUCCAGGUGUAGCGGUGAAAUGCGUAGAUAUCUGGAGGAACACCGGUGGCGAAGGCGGCAUCCUGGACCGGCAUUGACGCUGAGGCGCGAAAGCCAGGGGAGCAAACGGGAUUAGAUACCCCGGUAGUCCUGCCCU
rnacentral:rRNA from 1 species